GGCAGCGGCAGACACCUACUUCGACCAAGAUCCAAGAACAUGAGCACCGGCCAUCUUAAAGCCCACCAUCAACAAUCUCGAGUGGACGGUGUUUGGUUUGUUCUUUCAACUCUUGAUUCCUGAGCUACUACUGGAUCUUGCAUCUGUGUUUAGCUAGUAGAGUAUAAAAUGCAAAUGCUUAUGACCCGGACUAUGAAUGAUUGUUUUAAUGUUGCUCAUCUAUUGCAAUGAUUGUCUAAGCUCAAAAUAGUAAUCAUUACUGUCUCUUGCUUUAGUAUAU